rnacentral:snRNA from 1 species
GUGCUCGCUUUGGUAGCACAUAUAUUAAAAUUGGAACAAUACGGAGAAGAUUAGCAUGGCCCCCUGCGCAAUGAUGAUACGCAAAUUCGUGAAGUGUUCCAUAUUUUU